ensembl:lncRNA
AUGGCUUUUCAACUGUGAAUAUUUCCUUUUUUUUUUUUUUUUACAGUUUGAGGAACUCAUCACUCUUGCUGGCUACAUUUACACCAAGGCUCUGGCUAAUAACGGUAACAUUGUCAAGGAACUUCCAACGGGCACUAUUCAUAUCACAAGGCAAGAUUCAAGCACCCUGGGUGGAAAAACCAUUGGCUCAAUGGAUGGAGGAUUUUGCCAGCUUCCAUCUCUUACUGCAAUGACUGGACAGCUGCCAUCUGGGAAUGUCAAUGUGCAGCUCUUCCAAUUUAAACAGAAUCCAUUGGAAACCAAGUCCAACGAAAGCAUCACUGGAGCAACUUGCAGCUUUUCUUUGCAGAAUGGAAGCUCUCUACUCAAAUUCUCAAAUCUUUCAGAGAACAUUGAGAUAUAUCUGCCUCGGCCUGAAGCCCCUGAGCCUAAAGUUGUAGAUAUAACCUGGAAACCAGGGUUCGCUGUCACCUCAAAAUUCAACAUCUCAGACGUGAAUGUGACUGUGGUUGUUACAGCAAUGCCAAAUCGAAACGUAACUCUCACUGUUACUUUGUACCCACCAGAGGAGGCAAACGCCACCUAUUUGAAUCAAAGCACUAAUAUAACCUACAAAGACAAUUAUCGCUGGCUGAUCACCCCUGAAAUGUUAAAGGGAAUUGAGGGGGCCUGGAAGGUGGCAGUAUUACCAAGUCAUUACUCCCCAAGUGAGAUGCUGACCUUUAAAGUCUCAGUUUUUGUAACCAAGUGCCUGUUUUGGGAUACCAACCUUGGAGCCUGGAGUAGAGAGGGCUGCAUGGUAAACUCCAUGAUAGUUGCAUUUAAUAAUGUACAUUUAAUAUACAGUCUUUUCUUGAUGUUUGUGAUAUCAUGUCUAUCCAAAGGUUGGUCACAAAACAAUGCCUAACCUAACUCACUGUUUGUGCAACC